UGGACAUAUCACAUUGAAACACUGGCUCCUGUAUGAUCAUCGAAGUUAAGCAACAUUGAGCCUGGUCAAUACUUAGAUGAGUGAUUGCUUGGGGAUAUCAGGUGCUGUAAG